GGUGCAUGGAGUAGACGACGAACAGCACCGGGGGCGCCGAGAGCAGCAGGAUGUGGAAGAGCCAGAAGCGGUAGUGGGAGACCGGGAAGGCGCGGUCGUAGCAGGUCUGGCGACAGCCCGGCUGCAGCGUGUUGCACACGAACUCCUCUUGCUCGUCCUCGAACACGGCGCCGCCCACCGUGGCCAGCACCAGGAUGCGGAAGAUCAGCAUGACCACCAGCCAGAGGCGGCCCACGAGCGGCGACUGCAGCUGCACGGCGUCCAGCAGCGAGCCCAGGAACGCCCACUCCCCCAUGGCGCUGGGGACGCGGGGCGGGGAGUCAGGGGAUGGGGCAAGUCAGGGACCCCUGCCCCUUCCAAGCCUAUCGGGGUGGGGUCCGUUGGACCUUCUCUGACUUCAGGGUGAGUCGUGAGGUAGGAGAGGCCCGGGUUUAGCGAUGAGACCAGUAUGAAACGGAGGGCCACGGGAGGGCCCGAGGGGAGCAGGCGACGCUCAGCUAUGGGUUACCUUCUCUUUGGGACCGAUGGGUGCUGGGGAGGAUCCCCCAUUUGCAUUUUAGCCGCACCCCCUGAGCCGUCUCCGUUCGACCCUGGGAUCCUCCAGAUCCCAGAUUCUUAGGAAGGACCUUGGAGAUCAGCUGGACCAGCCCCUGACUUGCCUGGUUUCGGAAGCGGAAACCCAGCGGUGCCCUUAGCUGUCAAGGAUGCUGUGGGAAGAGUGGAGCCUCGAACCCGAGACGCUAGACCCAAUUUGGUGCCCAUGGGAGGAGUGGGAGUGGCAGAGGCAGCGAGACCACUCCUUUCUUGGCCCACCAUUUCUCUCACCAUUUUUACUGCAGUGAACUCCUCUCAGGGUGGGGGGCUGGUACAGAGGCAACUCCGCUUUCAUAACUCUCACAGGGUCCUUUGUCGGAGGUGUCCCUGCCCUCCUACCCCAGCGUGGUGGGAGUGCGACGCCAGGCUUCUCCCUCCUCCCUGGCCUCCUGUGCCUCCAGCCUCCACAUCUCCUGAGAUCCUCCCCACCCCACACUUACACAGGUCCCCACACGCCCCUGGUGCCCCUAAACCGCCACCCAACCCCACUCACCCUGGGGCCGGGACUGGGGUGUCAGAGCUGAGCCAGGGACCUUGGGAGGUGGCUGGGACCGGCGCCUCCUGCUCCCUCUUUCAUUUUCCCUUUCGGAUUUGGCCAGGAUGGAGGACAGGACAGGAUGGCUGAGAGGGGCUAGCGCUCCCCCUUCUCUUAAAGGAACAGGGUGACCCUGCUGGCUGGCUCCGCCCUUGGGAACAGGCACGGACCACGCCCCUUGCUGGGCUCUGUGGCCCUCACUCUUUAGCUAAAUUUCCAUCUGGAAAUGGGGGAGGGGGGUAACCAGAGCCACAUCCUUUAUCGAGGAAGCUGGGGGAUUCCUAGAAGCCCUUCCCAGACAGACCCUCAGUCUGGAGCCUAGAUCCACUACGCACUAACCAUGCCCUGUGAAGAUGGUCUUCGGGGACAGAGGGAGGUUUGGUGCUGGAGUUUAAGGGGCAGCAAACAUCUAACAGCUUCUGGUUCCAGCUCUGCCACCGCUCACCUUGGACAAAUCAUUCGGCGGUACUGAGCCAGGCUUUCCUGCCUUGUCAACAAAGGCGGCCAGUCCAGCUGACCCCCAAGUUUCCUUCCAGCUUUACAUCUUUUUUGGAACGGGGUCUCUCUACAUAGCCCAGGUCGAUCUUGAACUCCUGGCUUCAAGUGAUCCUCACACCUUAGCCUCCUGAGUAGCUGGGAUUCUCUACUUCUUAAUAUUGAAUUCCCAACCAUAUUACAGAGAACCAAAAAAACCCUUGUGCCUGCAAAAAAAAAAAAAAAAAAAAAAAUCCCAUAUGGAAAACCAUUAAAAUAUCCCAAGUGCCUGGCUUUGAUAGUUAAAUAAAAUCUUUGGUUUCCUUCCC
rnacentral:lncRNA from 1 species